CAGCAGGACAACAUCUUCUCCUGGACAAAAGAUGGAUCGGCAGAAGCACUUGGAGGCCCUUAGCGUCUUCCAGUGGGUCCUCACCUUCCUCUUCUUUGGUGCCUUCUUCUCUGUUCUCCUGGUCUACCUGCUCUUCACCUCCUACUGGUCUAUCAGCGUCCUGUAUUUCGCCUGGUGGAUCUAUGACUGGGAUAUGCCAGAGAGAGGUG